rnacentral:tRNA from 1 species
CUUUUUACAAGAAAACUUGUAGAUAUUAAUGGUCUUGAGCUAUUGAAUCGGGUUUAAGGUUCGUAAUCUUUGAAAAAUGAAAGUGGCCGA